CUUGCUACCUGCCGGCGAGUGGCGAACGGGUGAGUAAUACAUCGGAACGUGCCCUGUAGUGGGGGAUAACUAGUCGAAAGACUAGCUAAUACCGCAUACGACCUGAGGGUGAAAGUGGGGGACCGCAAGGCCUCAUGCUAUAGGAGCGGCCGAUGUCUGAUUAGCUAGUUGGUGGGGUAAAGGCCCACCAAGGCGACGAUCAGUAGCUGGUCUGAGAGGACGAUCAGCCACACUGGGACUGAGACACGGCCCAGACUCCUACGGGAGGCAGCAGUGGGGAAUUUUGGACAAUGGGGGCAACCCUGAUCCAGCAAUGCCGCGUGUGUGAAGAAGGCCUUCGGGUUGUAAAGCACUUUUGUCCGGAAAGAAAUCGCACUGGUUAAUACCUGGUGUGGAUGACGGUACCGGAAGAAUAAGGACCGGCUAACUACGUGCCAGCAGCCGCGGUAAUACGUAGGGUCCAAGCGUUAAUCGGAAUUACUGGGCGUAAAGCGUGCGCAGGCGGUUGUGCAAGACCGAUGUGAAAUCCCCGGGCUUAACCUGGGAAUUGCAUUGGUGACUGCACGGCUAGAGUGUGUCAGAGGGAGGUAGAAUUCCACGUGUAGCAGUGAAAUGCGUAGAGAUGUGGAGGAAUACCGAUGGCGAAGGCAGCCUCCUGGGAUAACACUGACGCUCAUGCACGAAAGCGUGGGGAGCAAACAGGAUUAGAUACCCUGGUAGUCCACGCCCUAAACGAUGUCAACUAGUUGUUGGGGAUUCAUUUCCUUAGUAACGUAGCUAACGCGUGAAGUUGACCGCCUGGGGAGUACGGUCGCAAGAUUAAAACUCAAAGGAAUUGACGGGGACCCGCACAAGCGGUGGAUGAUGUGGAUUAAUUCGAUGCAACGCGAAAAACCUUACCUACCCUUGACAUGCCACUAACGAAGCAGAGAUGCAUUAGGUGCUCGAAAGAGAAAGUGGACACAGGUGCUGCAUGGCUGUCGUCAGCUCGUGUCGUGAGAUGUUGGGUUAAGUCCCGCAACGAGCGCAACCCUUGUCUCUAGUUGCUACGAAAGGGCACUCUAGAGAGACUGCCGGUGACAAACCGGAGGAAGGUGGGGAUGACGUCAAGUCCUCAUGGCCCUUAUGGGUAGGGCUUCACACGUCAUACAAUGGUGCAUACAGAGGGUUGCCAAGCCGCGAGGUGGAGCUAAUCCCAGAAAAUGCAUCGUAGUCCGGAUCGUAGUCUGCAACUCGACUACGUGAAGCUGGAAUCGCUAGUAAUCGCGG
rnacentral:rRNA from 1 species